GACAGAGGCCUCAAGCGUUAGGCGGAAUCACUGGGCUUAAAGCGUGUGUAGGCGGAUCGUUAAGUGUCUUGUGAAAUCCCACGGCUCACCCGUGGAACUGCUGGGCAUACUGGCGAUCUUGGGCCAACUAGGGGCAGCCGGAACAAGCGGUGGAGCGGUGAAAUGCGUAGAUAUCGCUUGGAACGCCGAAGGUGAAAACAGGCUGCUGGGGUUGCGCCGACGCUGAGACACGAAAGCUAGGGGAGCAAAUGGG
rnacentral:rRNA from 1 species